rnacentral:rRNA from 1 species
GGUAUGGGAUGAGCUUGCGUCCGAUUAGCUAGUUGGCGGGGCAACGGCCCACCAAGGCGACGAUCGGUAGCCGGCCUGAGAGGGUGAUCGGCCACAUUGGGACUGAGAUACGGCCCAGACUCCUACGGGAGGCAGCAGUAGGGAAUAUUGCACAAUGGGGGAAACCCUGAUGCAGCAACGCCACGUGUGGGAAGAAGCAUUUCGGUGUGUAAACCACUGUCGUGAGGGAAUAAUACGCGGUUUCGGCCGCGGGAGAAUGUACCUUGAAAGGAAGCACCGGCAAACUUCGUGCCAGCAGCCGCGGUAAUACGAGGGGUGCAAGCGUUGUUCGGAAUCACUGGGCGUAAAGGGAGCGUAGGCGGAUGUUCAAGCGGAUUGUACAAUACCGGGGCCCAACCCCGGACCUGCAGUUCGAACUGGACAUCUUGGAUAGUUCAGGGGCAGGC